rnacentral:lncRNA from 1 species
UCCCCACAGAGCGUAAGUGGCUUGAGGAAGCCAAGCCCGUCAGAAACUUUCGAAAGACUUCAUCCCGGCGCUGGCGGCCCUGGCGACCCUGGUCUUACUAGAUCCUGCUGCACUGGGAACACUGACAGUUAAAGAAGCCGAAUUUAGCCACAGUCACCUGGUCUUCCCUUCUGCUCUUCCCUGCCGAUGCCGUUAGAGGCUUUGAGUGGGCACCGGAGGAAGAGUAGAGCCACAGCAACACAAGCUGCUCUGAUGGAGUGGAGCGGUGCUGAUGUCCCAUGGAGGUGGAGAAGGAGGACUGGCAGAGAGGAGGACGAUGAGGGGCGAGGAAGAAAAAGUGUAAAAAAGAACGGGAGGAAGAGAGGAGAAGGACAGGAAAAGAGGGAACAGAAGGAGGAGGAAGAAGAGAACUUCCACGGCUUCAAGCUUUCAGGUGUCCAGUCUGGCCGCUCGGAAGAGAAAGUGUGCCCAUCUCAGCCCCAAAGCAACAGCGACCAUCUAGAAAACAGAAGGUCAAAAGCAGCUGAAUGAAUGAUUCGUCAGAUUCAAAGGAUAUCCAAAGCGAAGUUCAAUAAGACUCUUUCCCAUGAAUGUAACGUAAAUUCUAAAAUCUAUAUGCAAAGUGGAAACAGCAAACUGGGUUUGCAAAGGACUGGGGAGGAGCACUCACCUCAGCGGCAUGUACUGAGGAAGGUGUAAAACCAAGAACAGUAAAAAUGCCAUGGCACUGUACUCACAAACUGGCCGCUGCGACCAAACCAGGGCCCCAGAGUUCCACCUGUGCAAACAGAGCCAACACAGGGAGACUUUCUUAAAACGAAUUUCCAAAAAAGACCAAACUCAGUUUAAUUACAUUGAAAUUAGCAGUUUCUGUUCAUCAAAGGAUUCAUUUAGCUAAACUUAAAAGAAAGCGGGGGGGGGGGGGAAAUGUUUGCUAUGUCUAAAGCCACCAAGACAUACUUACCUGAACAUGUGGGUAAAAUGCUAGGCGUGAGGACGGGGUGAGUGAGGAGGGCACGGGGAAAGGAGCAAGGCCUAACACCCACCCGUGCUUGGUAGGACCCGCGUCAGCCUCCGCAGCUGAGGCUUACCUGGGAACCACCAGAGCUGAAAUUGUUUUUCCUCGCCGCCAGUUAAUGGUGCAGUGCCUUCCGCUCAUGUAACUUACAAAGCCGCUGUAAUUUUCUGUGUCCCUGACCCUGCGUACAUCCAUGUGCAUGACUGGUGCCUGCGAGUCUCCAGCAGAUCCCCGGGAAUUGGAGGAACCAUGCGGGUGCUGCGACCUGGAAGAGCCCUUACACAAGGGGUCAUCUGUCCGGCCCCCAACGUUGUUGUUUUGAAACAGGGUCUCUCGGGAACUUCCGAUCUUCCUGCCUCCACCUCCCGAAUACUGGGCUUACGCGCCUAUGUCAGCAUACCUGGUUCUGUGGCUGCAAUCUAAGACUUUGCACACGCCUGGCACGGGCUCUACCACCUGCACUGCGUCCCAGUCCCUCGUGUAACUUUUGGUUUGUAGCUCUGCAAGUACGUU